UGUCACAUCAAAAAUGGUUUUGCAUGUGAUUUUCGUUUAUUUGAUGAUCACUUGGCGCUGAUGUGGCAAAUGGUCACUCCUUUCCCGGCCAGUGUUUACAGCUCAUAAAUUCCCCAAAUGGGCGCUUGAACCCUAAAUUCCCCAUUGACGCUCGCUCGCUCGAUCCAAGACCUCACGCUCGAAUUCAGGCCUCACUCUUGAAUCGGCUGCAGUCCAUGGCGUCAUCCACGAGCUUCUCGGCUAGCUCCUCCACGGGACGCAGGUCCUAUUCUAGUGGUACGGCGGCAGCGACACUGUCGCCGGUGCCAUAUCAUGAGGGUCCGUUGCAGUACAAGUUAGUGUUGUGCGGAUGCGGAGUGAAAGCCCGUCGGCAGAAGCCUGUUGAAUCCAGGGCGAAGGUACCAGGAAAUCAAAGGGUCUGGACUGUUGGUGAAUCGUGGCAUGAUGUUGCUGAAUCGUCUGAAAAAAGAGAAGAUGUAAUUGAAGAAUCUCGCUCUAGGCUGAAGCUUGCAUGGCGAAGGUAGUUGACUGGAGAUGGGCAUGAGGUUGUUUGUGAAUGAGAUGCAAUUCAAGCACGCAGCAGUAGUAGAAUUAGGUCCUUAAGUAGAAGACUUGCAGAUAAAAUUAACAAGAUUUAGAUCGUGAGUAGUGCCUGUUGUAAUUCACAUGAGUAGUGCUUCAUGCUGAGAAUUUAUAAGAAAAUGUCUGUAGGAUGUUCAGAAGAUUGGAUUUUUCAGAAAAAAAAUUCCUCAGCGUAAGCACACAAUUCUGCAUAACUGAGCAUAAACGCCUCUGCCUCUAGUUCUCCUGUGUAGUCAGCCUGUCCAUUUUUCCUCUCAAAUGAGCCGGCUUAAUGAUAUCUGGCCAACAAGUAAUCAAGUGGAUCUCGCGGAUCCAUACGAGCUGCAAAAUGAAUGAAUUUCUUAUCAGUUAUACUUACAGAGUAAACAAAUGCAAUCAUAAUUCAGUC